AUGGCCCUUUUCCUUCUGUUCUUCCUGGAUACAGCCCCCCCUGGUGUCCAGGAAACUCAUACAUGUGUGCAACAAGUCCUCGGUACCCCAAGAGAGUGCAUUGUAUGCAUAUGUUUAAAUACUGGGUUUGGAGGAGAUGGGCCAUGUUGGAAAUUGCAGUUCUCACCUCGGAGGCAGAUCCUGCGAUGCCGCCCCCCCCCAGCUCUAACCUGUCAUUUGCUGGAAGGGUCCGGGUGGGAUGCAAUUGAGCUUGUUGCUUUGGUGCUGCACGGUAUAAUGGUUCAGCUGUCCGAAUAAAACUCUGGGCUUGUAUCAGGUA